GACGAACGCUGGCGGCGUGCCUAAUACAUGCAAGUCGGACGCAGUUGCGAACGGGUGAGUAACGCGUAGGUAACUACCUAUUAGAGGGGGGUACAUAUUGGAAACGCUAGCUAAUACCGCAUACUAGUAGAUGGAUCUGCGUUGUAUUGGCUAGUAGGUAGGGUAAGGGCCUACCAAGGCAAUGAAGCAUAGCCGACCUGAGAGGGUAAUCGGCCACAUUGGGACUGAGACACGGCCCAAACUCCUACGGGAGGCAGCAGUAGGGAAUCUUCCGCAAUGGGCGAAAGCCUGACGGAGCAACGCCGCGUGAGUGAAGAAGGUUUUCGGAUCGUAAAGCUCUGUUGUAAGAGAAGCGGUAUCUUACCAGAAAGCCACGGCUAACUACGUGCCAGCAGCCGCGGUAAUAC
rnacentral:rRNA from 1 species